GAUCAGAGCGCCGGCCCUCUAUCGGUAAAGGCUUUCGAUCUCGGUCUCGUACUUUUUGUGCACGUUUGCCCGGCGGACCUUCAUUGUCGCCGUGACUUCGUCAUCGUCGUGGUCCAGUUCCUUGGUGAGCAGGUAGAAACGCCGGAUCUGUGAGACCUGCGCAAGUUUCGCGUUGGCGCUGUCGAUCUCGGACUGAAUCAAUUCACGCAAGCUUGCGUUCUCGGUCAGAUUCUUGAAAUUCGUAUAGGCAAUGCCUUCUUCUUCGGCCCACUUC
rnacentral:misc_RNA from 1 species